CGUCCCGCGUCUGCCGCGCGCGUCGUGGAGUGGCGGUAGUAUGCCGGCGCCGCAGCCCCGCUCCGCCCGCGCUCCGGCCGCCCGCGCCGCCGCGAGUGCCGCGCGCCUGCACCACUCCGCCGUCUACAGCGUCCGCAGCGCCGACAACAUACACCACGCUAUUACACGUCUCACGUCUACCGGAAUGUAAAUAUUUAUGGAUGUCAGUUUUCAGUUGUUUAGAUUGGCUGUGAAUUUUAAGGUGAAAAUGAAAUCGACAAGGCGUGUUCGGGUACAUGAAGAUGCUAUACGCCAUAGUGAGUGUAAGAGUGGCGGCGACCGGCUGGCGACGCCGCGGAUGUCGCUACUUGGCAAACCGCUCAGCUACCGCGCCACGCGACGCGACGCGCGAUACCGCCGCCUUCAGUCCAAGUUCUACAAUUUUCUUGAACGGCCUCGAGGAGUUAAGGCUGUCCUUUAUCACAUGAUCGUGUUUUUGAUGGUGUUCAUGUGUUUGUCGCUGUCAGUUUUUUCAACAAUUGAAGAAUACGAAGCAAAAGCAGGAAUUGUCCUUUUCUAUAUGGAGACAGUGGUUGUAAUUUGGUUCGCCAUCGAAUUCUUUUUAAGGUUAUGGUCGUCAGGAUGCAGGUCCCGGUAUCAAGGAUCGAUAGGUCGCCUCAAAUUUUUGAGGCGGCCAUUUUGUAUAAUAGAUGUGACCACAAUACUAGCGUCAGUAGUGGUGCUGGGGAUGGGCUCGUCGGGGCAAGUGUUCGCCGCGUCUGCCCUGCGCGGACUGCGCUUCUUCCAAAUCCUGCGCAUGGUGCGCAUGGACCGACGCGGCGGCACCUGGAAACUACUCGGCUCCGUCGUCUACGCACAUCGCCAGGAAUUAAUAACUACAUUAUAUAUUGGGUUCCUCGGGCUCAUAUUUGCCUCAUUUCUGGUGUACUUAGCUGAGAAAGACGUCGCGGAUACAAAGUUUAAAAAUUUCGCAGAAGCUUUGUGGUGGGGUGUGAUCACGCUGUGCACGGUGGGGUACGGCGACAUGGUGCCGCAGACGUGGCAGGGCAAGUUCAUCGCCUCCUUCUGCGCACUGCUGGGAAUAUCCUUCUUCGCGCUGCCCGCCGGAAUACUUGGGUCUGGCUUUGCCCUCAAAGUUCAGCAGCAACAACGUCAGAAGCAUAUGAUCCGGAGACGGCAGCCUGCCGCCACGCUCAUCCAGGCGCUGUGGAGGUGUUACGCCGCAGACGAGCACUCCAUGAGUGUCGCCACCUGGAAGAUACACCAAGUGCCGCUUCCCAGUCCACAAGCCAGCCGAGUGAUGAGUGCGUCGUUCAAGAACAAUGCAUCCUUCGUGUCGCGGCUGCCGACGAUCCGCCGCCACAAGAGCACCUCGCUGCACUCCCCCGCGCCGCACUCCAAGCCCGCACAUAGAUACGAUGUCAAUGCCAGCGCUGAAAAUCUUGGCGCGACGGCGGGCCGCCCGGCGCGCGCGCCGCCCGUGCACCCGGCGCACAGCGAGGACUCGGUGGCCGAGACACCACUCUCCAAGAAAAACUCUGAUGAUGAGGAGGACGAGCCGCGCUGCGUGACGUUGACGUCACGCCACAAAGCUGCCAUACGAUUUAUAAGAAAGCUCAAGUAUUUUGUCGCACGCAAGAGAUUUAGAGAAGCAUUGAAACCGUACGACGUGAAAGAUGUAAUAGAGCAAUAUUCGUCGGGACAUGCGGAUCUGCUAAACAGAACCAAGAACCUGCAGUACAGGUUAGACCAAAUACUUGGAAAACAAGGAUCUAAAGCUAAAGAUGUCUACGCAUCAAAAAUCAGCCUAGCUUCCAGAGUAGUUAAAAUUGAAAGACAAGUAGAUGAUAUAGAAAGUAAGUUGGAUCAUUUAUUAGAAAUGUAUAAGGAAGAUAGAGGAGCGUCACGAAGGCUAGGAGGUAGUAGUGCCAACGGAGGAGAAGGUGGCCCCUCGGGAGAGGGGGGGCUGCUGGCGCGGCACCGGCCGGCGCUCACGGAGAAGCAGUGCUCCGAGCCCAACUCGCCGGUGUCGCGCACCUUCGAGCCGCCCGCGCCUGUCGCCGCGCCGCUCGUGCCCUACAAACGUCCCAUGAACCGAGGAUAUUCAGACCUCGGUAGCAGAUUCAUGAAAAAAAAAGUUAUCGUAAAGACAGCAAGUUCAAGUCGCAACGGUGAUUCCCCCAGGGACGACGAAGUAGUUAUCGUAGUGCCGGACCGCGAGGUCACGCCUCCCCGACUUGUUACCGACAGCUCAGGUAUAAAUAUGAGAAUAUUACAAAAUUGCAGCAUCUUAUGAAGAUUAUUCGUCGUCGACCUCUCUCUGACCGACGACAUGGGAGAGCCCCAUAGUAAAUGGCCGCCGCCGGCUGAAAGUUUGCGCCAGUUGCUC
rnacentral:misc_RNA from 1 species